rnacentral:pre_miRNA from 1 species
AAGGGAAUUGCUGGGGCACAUAGUAAUUCCAUGUUUAACUUUUUGAGGAACUGCCUGUUUUCCAAAGUGGUUGCACUAUUUUACACUUCUACCAGCAAU